rnacentral:rRNA from 1 species
CCUACGGGUGGCAGCAGUGGGGAAUAUUGGGCAAUGGGCGCAAGCCUGCCCCAGCAACGCCGCGUGAAGGAAGAAAGCUUUCGUGUUGUAAACUUCUUUUCUUAGGGACGAAGCAAGUGACGGUACCUGAGGAAUAAGCCUCGGCUAACUACGUGCCAGCAGCCGCGGCAAUACGUAGGUGGCAAGCGUUAUCCGGAUUUCCUGGGUGUAAUGGGCGUGUUAGGCGGGACGCAAGUCAGAUGUGAAAACCACGGGCUCAAACUGUGGCCUGCAUUUGAAACGAUGUUUCUUGAGUACUGGAGAGGCAGACGGAAUGCGUGGUGUAGCGGUGAAAUGCGUAGAUAUUAGGAGGAA